rnacentral:rRNA from 1 species
CCUACGGGCGGCAGCAGUGGGGAAUAUUGGGCAAUGGAGGAAACUCUGACCCAGCAACGCCGCGUGAAUGAUGAAGGUCUUCGGAUUGUAAAGUUCUUUUCUAAGGGAAGAAGAAAGUGACGGUACCUUAGGAAUAAGCCUCGGCUAACUACGUGCCAGCAGCCGCGGUAAUACGUAGGAGGCGAGCGUUAUCCGGAUUUAUUGGGUUUAAAGGGUGCGCAGGCGGAGGUGCAAGUCAGCGGUCAAAUUGCGGGGCUCAACCCCGUACUGCCGUUGAAACUGCAUCCCUUGAGUGCGCGAGAAGUAUGCGGAAUGCGUGGUGUAGCGGUGAAAUGCAUAGAUAUCACGCAGAACUCCGAUUGCGAAGGCAGCAUACCGGCGCGCAACUGACGCUCAUGCACGAAAGCGUGGGUAUCGAACAGGAUUAGAUACCCUGGUAGUC